rnacentral:rRNA from 1 species
GACGAACGCUGGCGGCGUGCUUAACACAUGCAAGUCGAACGGUGAAAGCGGAGCUUGCUCCGCUGGAUCAGUGGCGAACGGGUGAGUAACACGUGGGCAACCUGCCCCUCACUUCGGGAUAACUCCGGGAAACCGGGGCUAAUACCGGAUAUGACCUCCUUGGGCAUCCUUGGAGGUGGAAAGUUUUUCGGUGAGGGAUGGGCCCGCGGCCUAUCAGCUUGUUGGUGAGGUAGGGGCUCACCAAGGCGACGACGGGUAGCCGGCCUGAGAGGGCGACCGGCCACACUGGGACUGAGACACGGCCCAGACUCCUACGGGAGGCAGCAGUGGGGAAUAUUGCGCAAUGGGCGAAAGCCUGACGCAGCAACGCCGCGUGCGGGAUGACGGCCUUCGGGUUGUAAACCGCUUUCAGCAGGGAAGAAGCCGCAAGGUGACGGUACCUGCAGAAGAAGCACCGGCUAACUACGUGCCAGCAGCCGCCGCGG